rnacentral:rRNA from 1 species
UCGAGCGGAUGAAGGGAGCUUGCUCCCUGAUUUAGCGGCGGACGGGUGAGUAAUGCCUAGGAAUCUGCCUGGUAGUGGGGGAUAACGUUCCGAAAGGAACGCUAAUACCGCAUACGUCCUACGGGAGAAAGCAGGGGACCUUCGGGCCUUGCGCUAUCAGAUGAGCCUAGGUCGGAUUAGCUAGUUGGUGAGGUAAUGGCUCACCAAGGCGACGAUCCGUAACUGGUCUGAGAGGAUGAUCAGUCACACUGGAACUGAGACACGGUCCAGACUCCUACGGGAGGCAGCAGUGGGGAAUAUUGGACAAUGGGCGAAAGCCUGAUCCAGCCAUGCCGCGUGUGUGAAGAAGGUCUUCGGAUUGUAAAGCACUUUAAGUUGGGAGGAAGGGCGUUUGGCUAAUAUCCAAGCGUUUUGACGUUACCGACAGAAUAAGCACCGGCUAACUUCGUGCCAGCAGCCGCGGUAAUACGAAGGGUGCAAGCGUUAAUCGGAAUUACUGGGCGUAAAGCGCGCGUAGGUGGUUCGUUAAGUUGGAUGUGAAAGCCCCGGGCUCAACCUGGGGAACUGCAUCC